CGGGGAGCUGGUGCUGAGCACCCACCCGCAGCCCCCCAAGGGCAGCCUGGCCGUGAAUCACCUCCAGCAGCACCUGCAGGCAGGGCAGGGGCGGGAGAAGCAUCCCUCCGAGCGGGCAACAGGUCCUGACAAAGCGACCCCCACCCAUCUCGGGGUGCCCCCCGGUCCUCCCCCUUUGUGAGGGUGCCAGGGCCGAGCCUCCCAGCCGUGCACCCGUGGGUGCCCGCGCUCCCCGAGCCCCGAGAGCGGCUCUCACCUUGCGGAGAUGCUGCUGCCGAAUCUUCUUCAUCCCACAAUCCUGUUGCUAUGCGCUCCCCGCUCCGACACUUGUUCUCUGGCUCCGCAGACCAGACGGCCUCUCCGGAGGCAGGGAGGGAGAGAAGAGGGAGCGAUGGCGGGCAGGGAGGGGUGCUGAGCUCCUCCCGGCACCGCGGAUGGAGGCGGGGGGCACGGGGGGACACGGCCCAGCGGGAGCGGAGCUGGCAGCAAGGUUUGCCUGGAGUUGGGGAUGGCUGCGUGCUGAGCAGGCAGGGAGGGAGGGGACGGCUCUUGGCAGGCUGGAGAAGGGCUGUCUGUCAAACGAGCCCCUGCCGGGAGGGGUUGGGGUCCUCAGCCCCCACCAGGGCAGCGAGGAGGAGUGGAUGCUGUUUUACACAAACCCACAGAUGCGUCAGGUCCCGUGGGUGCCCUGCCGCUGGGCACCCGGUGCUCCCACAUGUCCCAGGGGGUGGUGGCAGCAGAGCGAGUGCCAGAAGCUCCCAGCACCUUUCCGGCCAGCCCCACGCUGGUUUUCCUUCUGGCAGGGCACAGCUGGAGCCCGAGCAGCUCCAAAGUGCCUCGUGCCCGUGCUGUCACAGAGCCCGGAGCCCGGGGCAGGGGAUGCUCAGCAGCCCUCGGUCCCUCUGGGCAGGACCAGCGCAUCCCAGUGCGCCUGGGGCAGGUCCCAGUGGGGACAGCAGUCCCCAGUGCUGUCCCCAGCACUGGGGCGCAGCUCCUGUCCCCAGGGCUCAGGUGUUCCUGUUGAGCUGUCAGUGGGAUCCUACAGCCCCGACAGCCAGGGAAAUGGGGGCUUUUCCCCCUCGUGCUCAGCCAAAUCCCCAGGGAGGAGGCAAGGAGCUGAUCUGCGGCUCCUCCUCCCACUGCUGUGGUGAGAAAUGUCCCCAGAGGCUUUGCUCAGCUUUAAGGCUCAGCAGGUGGCUCUGGGGCUGUGG
rnacentral:lncRNA from 1 species